rnacentral:rRNA from 1 species
GUCUUGAGACCGGCGCACGGGUGCGUAACGCGUAUGCAAUCUGCCUUCCACAGAGGGAUAGCCCAGAGAAAUUUGGAUUAAUACCUCAUAGCAUCAUGACCCGGCAUCGGGAUAUGAUUAAAGUCACAACGGUGGAAGAUGAGCAUGCGUCCCAUUAGCUAGUUGGUAAGGUAACGGCUUACCAAGGCUACGAUGGGUAGGGGUCCUGAGAGGGAGAUCCCCCACACUGGUACUGAGACACGGACCAGACUCCUACGGGAGGCAGCAGUGAGGAAUAUUGGUCAAUGGGCGCAAGCCUGAACCAGCCAUGCCGCGUGCAGGAUGACGGUCCUAUGGAUUGUAAACUGCUUUUGUACGGGAAGAAACCCUCCUACGUGUAGGAGCUUGACGGUACCGUAAGAAUAAGGAUCGGCUAACUCCGUGCCAGCAGCCGCGGUAAUACGGAGGAUCCAAGCGUUAUCCGGAAUCAUUGGGUUUAAAGGGUCUGUAGGCGGUCUUGUAAGUCAGUGGUGAAAGCCCAUCGCUCAACGGUGGAACGGCCAUUGAUACUGCUGGACUUGAAUUAUUGGGAAGCAACUAGAAUAUGUAGUGUAGCGGUGAAAUGCUUAGAGAUUACAUGGAAUACCAAUUGCGAAGGCAGGUUGCUACCAAUGGAUUGACGCUGAUGGACGAAAGCGUGGGUAGCGAACAGGAUUAGAUACCCUGGUAGUCCACGCCGUAAACGAUGGAUACUAGCUGUUGGGCGCAAGUU